UAUUUUAAAAGAUAAUUAUUUUCCAUUAGAACAGAAUGAUAUGAAUUCAGUCAUUUAUCAUUAACGCAUUGAAACACAAGCAAGUAGGAUUUUCAGAGCUAUUGGAAGACAAUCGCCACCAUGAGCAAUCGUAAUCUGGCUGCGGCCGUGCACUAUCACGCUAUCCAGUACGCAGCCAGUAAUAUUUGAAUUUAAAACCACACGUGAUGGCACAUGCUUCCUCACGCAAAAGAAAAACGUGUAAAACAAGUUGUUUUUCCCACCCAGAUUGACCAGAAGCAGAUUGACUGGAACGGCACAGUUGAAAGUCACCCUCGUCCUACGGUCUGAUCUCUUUCCGAAUCCAGGUCUCCCCCUUUUUUAUUUUGGGGUGAAACCUUUCAAGUGUGUCAAUGCGCUGGACUGGACUGGUCGUCGACACAUCUACGUAUUCAUCAUCGAAAUCAUCCCAAAAAACAUGAUGUCCACGUCCAUCGUGUCGAAAAGGAUGUGUACACAUUGAGAGGAUAAUACACCAAACUGACAGUACCGGCACCGUUGGCACCCGCACUCACCGUCAAGUUUUCCCUUUUCAGCCAUUCGGAAGUAGUUCGAUUCGUUUCCUUUCAUUCGCACUCUCUCUCCCUCUCGCUGUCUAUAACUUUCUUAGAAGUUAUGGAUCGCUUCCGUUCCUUCUGCGGCUCGGAGGAGUUAUGCGCGGCGUGUUGAAACUGGACGGCCCGUGAAACCUUAGUAAGGCCUGUGAACGUUAGUCACUGUGUCGGACGAGAACGGGUACGGUGGGCAAGGUGUUCGCGCCGGUUGGAAUGCAACCGUUGUAUCAAAUGACAACACGCUGGCGAUGGUUGUGGCUUCUGGUACACGGCCGUCGGCGCGAUGCGGCCAAAGACCGGUUUAUUAGAUGUAAUGGUGAUAGUUCAAUUAGUCCGUGUGCGAUCGCGGUCGAGGUAGGAGCUCUCCCGUGGUAGUGGCCAUUUCCCAAAAGUUCACAUCUAGAGAGGUUUAGCCGUGCAAUAGUCCGUCUGGCGCAAAGAAAAACCGCGUGGCUAUUCUAGAUGGUCAUGGUUGACGAGCGAACGCCACUAACGUCGGACCUUUCCGGUCCGCUUCCGCUGGCGUCGGGACCCUCCGGUACCGCCGUGCAUCAUCUGAAGUCACACGAAAGUGUUCGGGAGCGCCAGGUCCGAACGUUCCAGUGCUGGAUUUGUUCCGCAAUACUGGGUGCAUUUGCGCUGGCGAUCGUGAUCAGCAUUAGUUACAUCAUAUUCGGCGAUGCAACGCAACCACCGCUGGAUGGAGCGAACACGACGGCGGCGGAUUUUCCUGAGCUCUUAAAUCUCAUUAGUUUCCCGCUGGUCGAUGAGUCGUCACCCGAGUGGAACGGUACGGCGGUUAGCGACGAUGCCAAGGCGGCCGCCAUAGCGGAGGGCGAGAAGGCGCUGGGCGAUAAGGAGCUGCUGGAGGAGACGCUCUCGUCGCCCCCGCUGAACUCGCCCUCCUUCCGCCACCAAAAGUCCGUCGGUGCAACGAAAGCGGCCCGGCUGGCGGCGAAGGUCGGCUUCGUGGAGGAUCGUGCCACGCAGGCACUGGUGCGCCGGCUGGACAUCCGUCGUCGGGGCUCGAUCGGGCGCGGCCCGCCGAUGGAUUUGCCGCGUGCGCACGGCCAACCGCGCUGCGACUUUAACGCGCGCUAUCGCACGGCCAACGGGACGUGCAACAAUAAGGAGCGACCGUACGAGUACGGCGUCGCGAUGAUACCGUUCCGGCGCCAGCUCAACCCGGACUAUGGCGAUGGCAUAUCGGCACCGCGUGCGUCCGUCGAUGGCAGUGAGCUGCCCAGCGCCCGGCAGGUGUCGCUCGAAAUCCAUCGCCCAUCGUACCACAACGAUCCGAACUUUAGCGUGAUGCUGGCGGUGUGGGGCCAGUUUCUCGAUCACGACAUAACCUCCACCGCGCUGAACCAGGGCGUGGACGGGAAGCCGAUCGAGUGCUGCGAUCCGGGGCAGCCGCAACAUCCCGAGUGCUUUCCCGUGCCGCUCGGUCCGGGCGAUCCGUACUACCACCAGUACAACGUGACCUGCAUGAACUUUGUGCGCUCGGUGCCGGCCCCGACCGGCCACUUUGGCCCGCGGCAGCAGCUGAACCAGGCGACCGCCUUCAUCGACGGCUCGGUCGUUUACGGCUCGGACGACGAGCGUAUGGGCGCGCUGCGCACGGGCGCCGGUGGCAAGCUGCGUAUGCUGCGCACGCCGGACGGUCGCGAUCUGCUGCCCGUGUCGACCGAUCCGCUCGACGGGUGCAACGAGCAGGAGAUGAAUGCGGCCGGCAAGUACUGCUUCGAGUCGGGCGAUGCGCGGGCGAACGAGAAUCUGCAUCUCACCUCGAUGCAUCUGAUCUGGGCCCGGCACCACAACAGCCUGGCCCGCGGGCUGGCCCGCGCAAACCCGCACUGGGACGACGAGCGGCUGUUCCAGGAGGCGCGCCGCAUACUGGCCGCCCAGAUGCAGCACAUCACGUACGCCGAGUUUGUGCCGGUGAUCGUCGGCAACGAGACGGCCGGCCGGAUGGGCCUGCUGCCCGCGUCGGCCGGUGGCGAGCGGGCCGGCGACACGUACAACGCCACGGUGGACGCGUCGAUCGCGAACGUGUUUGCGGGGGCCGCGUUCCGCUUCGCCCACACGCUGCUGCCCGGGCUGAUGAAGCAAACGCGCAAUCCGGCCGCGUCCGCCUCGGGCAUCGAGCUGCACCGGAUGCUGUUCAACCCGUACUCGCUGUACGCGCGCGACGGGCUGGACAAUGCGCUGGGCGGUGCGAUCGGUACGGCGCUGGCCAAGUACGACCAGUACUUCUCCACCGAGCUGACCGAGCGGCUGUUCGAGAAGGCGGACGAGCAUCUGCUGCACGGCCAGCCGUGCGGGUUGGAUCUGGUGUCGCUCAACAUACAGCGCGGCCGGGACCAUGGGCUGCCGGCGUACCCGCGCUGGCGCAAGCACUGCCACCUGACGCCGGCCGACAGCUGGCCGGAGGUGGAGCGCAUCGUCGAUCCGGAAUCGUACCGGCAGAUGAGGCGCAUCUACCGCGAGCCGGCCAACGUGGACGUUUACUCGGGUGCGCUCAGUGAAGCGCCGGUGCGCGAUGGGAUCGUCGGGCCGCUGCUGACGUGCCUGAUCGGCGAUCAGUUUUUGCGGCUGAAGCAGGGCGACUCGUUCUGGUACGAGAGACGGCGGGGGCCGCAACGGUUCACCGAAGCACAAUUGCAGCAAAUUUACAACACCAAACUGUCGAGCGUUAUUUGUCGCAAUUCGGACCACAUUGAGCAGUCGCCCGUGUAUCUGAUGAAGCGUACCGAUUCCCGCACGAACCCGGAAACGGACUGCAAGCAGCUGGACACGUUUGAUUUCGAGCCGUUCCGAGAGGACGCCGAACAGCCGCAGCGCAAUCGGGCGGCCAAAAUUGCGACCGACCGCAUGAAGGUGCUGGUGUUCGAACCAAAGGCAACCGGAACCACCACCGAGCACGCGGUCGGGGCGGAAAUGCUGGACGAGGAGGAGGGAGAGCGCCAAGCGGCCAGCACGACGACGGUGGCAACGACAACGGAUGCGACGACGACGACGACGACAAUGACGACCACGAUGAAGGAGGCUGCCGGAGCAUGAUUUAGGGCCCGUUUAUCGAGAGAACGUCCGUCUAGCAACAUCGUCGCCUACUAGUCGAAACGAUGUUCCGUGCAAGGGGUGCGCAAGGGAUGUUACGGGUGAAUCAAAGACGCGUGUGGUCGAAUCCUACACAACGGAAGGACAACGUACGUCGCAGCUUCGUCGCAAAUCAAUUCAAUGAAAGCCAGAAAAGUUCUGCUAUCUUCAGAACUAAACCAUACAUUGUUCAGUUUAGCUAAGUGCAAUAAGUAACAUCACAACCAAUCAAUCAAACACCAUUUUGACAAUCUUUUAAAUAAAACAAACAUAAAACUACUAAACGCUUACGUUUCCAUAUUAGAUUGCGUAUUCUAGACACCCAAGCAGAAAGUGUGUUCAUGACUGUAUGAAUCGAAGGGCGUUGUACCUUUUAUCAAGCCCCGUCCCACUGUUGUCAGGAUGUUCCAUCAGGACUCAGAAGAAGAGCAAUUAGCCACUACAGCUUUUAAUUAGUCAGCAUGUCUUAGCAAGCGUGUCCUUUCGAGAAGCGUUCUUAACACAUCCCCCUUCUUGGGGCACUUCUUGGUUGUCAUCGCAACACGUACAGGACCGGUGUGUUAGUGCGUUACUCAUUAAGUCGGAUUUCUACCAGGAGACCAGGAGGCCCUGCAGGAGUCAGUUGCUCCCUACGUGUUGGUGUACGUUUGUUUGUGUGUGUCGCUGCGAAGUGUAAAGAAGCAUCCAACUCUUCCACUUCUCCAAGGGAGGCAGAGCAAAAGAUGUUGAACGGACAUCUACGCCGCGCGCACAUCGUUGCAUUUGGGGAAGAGCCCGGCUACGAGCGUGAUAUAACGUAUUAGCCACUGGAAAAGGGGGAGACGAUUCAUUAUGUACCACUCGCAAAAGACAGCGACGACAAGGGCUUGCUGAGAUAAUUGGUUUGCUCCGUCCCAUCACGUACAUGGAUGGCUGUACAUAAGGAGUGAUGCCUCGUCUUGUUGUUUCAUUUACUGCUGAGCCGUUUAAAAGGACUCGGUCGGACUGCUCUCAUUCUCGUGCUCCAAAUCGUGCUGACGAGGUGGUGUAUUAAUUAACUUCAGUUCUACUUUCUACCCGCUCGAACUCGACCACCACUCUCCCGGACCCGGACCCCCCCCCCCCCCCC